AUAUGACAUCGAAUGAGCGAAAUAUCGAUUUUAUCAAACUACCUGCAUUAGAUAAAUAAAUUAAUUAAUUUUAUAUUAUUUUUGACAACUCAAAUCAAUUUUUAAAAAUAACCUUACAAUAGUAUAUUCGUAAACGAUACAAAUAAUGUAUGUAUCUAGGGUUCCUCUUUCACUUUCCGAAAUAUAAAACUUGUGGAACCGACGCGCUUGUUGGAAAAUAAUGUAACAAUAGCAGUGUUCAAAAUUCCCGUUCGAUUCCGACCUCAGUACCACCCACCAAUAUGAGUUUGGGGGCUAUGAUGCCACAAUAUGUCGGGGGUUAUUUGAAUUUUCAAUUUAAUACUAAGUAAAUUGUAUUAUGACUUUAUAUAGCCCCGAAUCUCUAUAGCCAUUUACAUAUAGUUGUUAGGAAAAUGUAGAUAUCUAACUUUAUAUCUAAAUGUGUGAGAUAUUUUCUAGUGCAUUAUCGAAAUGUGAUAAAAUAUUAGGUUAUAUAAAAAAAGGCAUUAAUUACCUAGCUUAUAUAUUUUAGUGAAAAAACAAAUCAAACGUUCAGUACCAGGUUUUUUUUUAAAAGUUGGCAAUAAGCAAUUUUAUUGAGAUAAGUGACGAGUACCUAAUCGAUUAGAAUAUGAAAUCAAUAAUUACAAUGCAUUUCAAUUGAGAAGAACCAUCGGCAUGGUACCCACUGCGUGAUUUGAAUAUCUAGUUAUGAAAAAUCUAUUUUUUUAAACUCUUUAUUAUUUUUAAAGGAAAUCAACCUAAAUAUUAGAUACAGUUAAAAAUAAUUAGCAGAAUAAUUUUGUAUUCUAUAACCAUGUGUAGCAAGUUUCAAGUUUAAAAACAUUUUAAAUAUGGCGGUGUUCUUUUUAGUUGAAACGUAUAUUAAUUGAAUGCAUUUUUGAGUUUAUGAACUAGAAAUUUAUUUCAUCAUGAUUUAAGGGCAUUUUCAUAACCGAAAAAUGCAAUGUUUAUUUAUUAAAUUGUAUAUGGAAUCAUAUUAUCGAUAACGGCAUUUAAUUUAGAUUUACGGGCCAUUGUUUUAAGGGAAAUUUUCCAUCUACACCUCUGACCUUAUAUAUUAUCGCAUCUCACGAGUAGCUUCGCAAUUUGAUGGAAGCCUUGGACAAAUCAAACGCGUUGCGUUAGUGUAACCCCACGGUAAUGAUAUAAUAUAGAUACAUACUGCAAAAAAUGUUUAAAAAUAUUGUUUGUUUUUAAGCAUUAUUGCAACUUCUGGGCGCCGCUUUUGCGAGUUGUCGCUACCGACGCGCGUUUGGUUUAACCGAACCUUAUUAAGAGUAUGUUUUACCCAUUAUGUCGAUAUAAUAUAAUAAAGAACUGGCGAACAAAACUGUGUAAUAACACUUGUAGCCAAAAUACUUUCUUCUUUAAUCCGGACGUUUUUGCCACUGUAAACAAAUCUGAUAAUGUUUCCAAGCAAAACGGUUUAAAUACGUAUUAAAAUUGAGCCCUAAAAAAACUUGAACUAAAUAUUUCCAAGUAAAGCCUAAAACUGUGCAAAAAUUCAGUUCAAAGUUCGUAAUUUUGGUCAAAAAGAUACAAUUACAGUAAAUUUUCAACAGCUUACAUUCGGAUUUAAUCCUACUGUAAAAUUUAAAUUCGUACAAUUACACAUUUUUGUUGCCAAUUCUUUAAUUAUUAUGUGUUGUUAUAGUGAGGGCUUAAUCUAAGUAUAUAUUUAUACGACAUCUGUAUCUAUUAUACAAUAUGGUAAAUAGACAUUUACAUUGUGUAUUUUUCUAUUUCAAGAGCCCGCUUUACACGGUGACGAUCACUGCGCGCUAAAUAUGUCACUCUACAUUACCAAAUUCAUACAACUUUUCCUAGUUUCACUAUUCCCGUAGUUUGCGACUUUGAGCGGGGAACGCCACGAAACCAUCCAUACUAUAGUUUUCCUUAGCCGUCUUAAAAGAUAAAUUACAGAAACCUCGGAAAAACGCGAGUGUCGUGAUCUCCCCGGUGCUUUUGACUUUCUGGAGUUAGGUUUUCAAUUUCAGUUCGCGGUAAUAAUGUCGUAUGGGCCACGUAUGGUACGCUUCUUACACAUUUCAACGAGAAGCUAUUUGUUUACAUUUUAAAUCAGUUAAAGAAAAAUAUAUUAUGUAUAUUAUUUCGUGUUCGUUGACUGUCGCAGCAAGUGUAGAGCGGGCUUAAAGAUUUGCUGCACCUAAUCAACACAAAAACAUCAUCGUUUGUAUUUAAAUGUUUUAAACUAUUAUUAUUAUUAGUAGGAUUUUAUUCGUGAUUAAAUCGCGAAAAUUAUUAUUAUAGGUAGUGUAGGUAUAAUAAAAAAGAAUUAUUUUAAAUACAUACCUAUUAUAAUAGAAAAAAUACCUUCUCGCCUUUCUUAUGAAUGUGAUAAGUACUCGUAUAUCUAUAAUUACUAUCAUUUUUUAUGAUUUAAGUACCUAUCUAAAACAAAAUUGUCAAUGAAAACGAUUUCUUAAAUAGAUACCUUUGCACACCAUUUAAUAAUUUUCGAAAAGGUUUUCGUUUUCAAGCUUUGAAUACUUGAUAUAGAUUAGCGAUGGGCGAUUCAUUCGUAAAACAAUCGAAUUAUUCAAUUUUUGUUUUUAAUAAUAUAAUCGAUAGCAAUCGAAAAACAGUCGAUUUCUUUAGAUUGUUCAAUUGUUACUUUUUGCGCAAAUGAAUCAAAAAUCGAAAUUUUGAUAAUAAAUUAACGGCGGCGUCGUGAAUACGAAUAAAGUUUAAAGAACGAUCGAACGAAUCGAAUUAGUAAACAAUCAAUUGUCGAUUUUUUGUUCGACUAUUUUUGCAAAUGAUGAAACCAAAAUAAAUGGUUUAUCGACUGUUCAAUUGUUCUAAUCAUUCGAUAAUUUUUUAGCAACAAUCUCCCAUCGCUAAUAAAAUACAUGCUUGUACAUAAAUAACGACUUAAACAGCAGCUCGAUUGCGGUAGAAUGACAGUUACAAUCGCAAUUACCUCUGAUUGGUUGACUGUCGCUAACUAAUAUUGUGGUAACAAGAACAGCAUAGGCAAUAACAUCAAUUGCGAUUGUAAUAAUGCAGGUUUUGCGGAAUCGAGCUACAGGCUUUGAUUGUAUUGAUAUCAAAUGCGCGUGUAAAGUUUAACUCUCUCGUCUUGGCGUGCAAAGGAUCUUACGCUGAAUGAGAUUUUACAUAAGUAAUACUAUAUUUUUUAUGAAAUAUGAAUUAAAUGACAAAUUGGUGUGAUUAAAUUAUAGAAAUCGUUUUAAUUAUGGAAUUUAAUUCUAAAGCAGUAACCACACCGCGAACUAAACUUCGGUACGUGACAGGCCGAGAUGCUAAUCGGCAACCGGCGUGGCGCUAACCCGCUGCCAGCCCGAGGACGUGCGGGUGUGCGGGGCUUCCCCCUCGUCUCAUACCCCGAUUGUCAUUUCAACCUGCCGCGUACUGUAGGCGCUUAGCGUCCACCCAAAUAUGCUAAUUAACUACGCAAGCUUCAAAAUGAAAACUAAAAUAUGUAGGUGUAGAAGCGCGAGGCGUGGAGUUACUUAGUACUUACAUAGUUUACUUUACUGUCAUUUUUACAAAAAUAUCUUUGUAUUACGUUAAAAAGAUAAAAUUAAAGUUAAUAGUAGCGGUAUGACAAUAUGUUUACCUUUAUAUUUUUAUAGAUACCUACUUCACGGUAAAUGCUCGUCGAGCGUAGGUGCUACUUUAUAGUUUGUACACAGCAUCGUUAGAUACAGAUAGAUAUUAACUACCGAUAAAAAGCCUCGUUACUUAUACUGAUAUUAAUAAUCUCGAUAGAGUAUCGAUAUUUGUACGGCUACUUUUUAACAUUAACAUAACGUUACUUUGGGUGCGGUACGGAUAUUAACUGUCCAUGACUGGUAUCGGGAGAGCAAACCUGCACCCGCUAAGAGUAAGUACCCGCUAAGUAAGGUGGCUUGCUCAGCUUUGCUCUGUAGUGAACUGAAGUCACUUAGCUUACUUAGAAACUUAAAUUUACAAUGUAUAAUGAUAACGCUAGCAAAAACUUAGCGCUACUAUUACCUAUACCACCUCAAUAUAAUCCGAUACCAAUAACCAUGUACCUUAUACUUGUAGCUUUAGUAACUUGAACGUUUUCAAUCUUGCGAUGUAUAGCGUGCAAAAAACAAGGUCAAUGCCUCACCUACGACCCGAGGUAUCUAUCUACGCAACGUUCGUUGACCUCUAGAGUCAGUCAGUUGUUUUAUUUGCAAUACAUUGAACUUUGAAAAAUACAAGUAUUUUUUUGGGGGUAUUAUUUAUCAAUAAUCAUCAGUAUAACCCGCGGUGUGGCUUGUGCUUUAAAAUAGAUAUUCAUAUACUUAACAUAUAAAUAGUGAUUUAAUUUUAUAUUUCAUUUGAGUCGUGGCCUCGACUUACAGCACUGGGUGGGGCGAUGACACUACGAAUUCAGAAGAAUACAAUACGAAGUCCACGUUCUUUUAUCAUUUACAUAAUCUUCGAUUGUGUAAUGCUCUUUUCUGGAGUGUACUUAUAGUUGUUUUUUUUACUUGUGUAAAGGGAAGUCUCGAAUUGAUUGUAGAAUUUUAUUAUAAAAGAUUACACUUAUCCCUCUGACUUUCGGACUUUUUCGAGGCGGAUCGCAGGAGAUGUCAUCCUGAACGACAGCAGGGCAGAUAACAGGGCGCAUUAUGUAAUAGCUCCGCCACCGCUGCCGCUUCCGCUCCACCCAUCACCAUCGUCGAGGUCGCGGCAUUUCUUUAAGGCUACGGCCUAUUUUGACGCGAAGCGACGCGCCGCUGUAAUGCGGUCCGGCCUUUAGUCAGAUUUCAGUAAUUACGUACGUCCCGAACGAUCGUAAUUUCGCUCCCGAUUUCCCGCUUGUGACUUGACCCAGGCCUUAUAGGGAAAAAUAAAAAUAUUAUGUAAGCUCGAGAUACACUGUUCUGGUUCCAGCUCUGCCUCUAAGCUGAAAUCUAUAGAGCGUACUUUGACUUUGCUCAAACUGACGAGAAACGAGACAGACUCUACCGGUGUGCGUUUAGCUUUAAGAUUUGAAUGGUUAUCAUAUUUUGGUCUCGGUUGAGCCACAAUAGAACCAGAACGUGCAAUCCGAGCCUCUGUGAAUGGAUUUCGAAAUGGAUUUUUUUAUAUUUUUAAUCACCGACUAAAUAGUUAUAAUAUAAAAAACCGUAUAACUGCCUUCUUGUUUCAGUGUGUCAAUUCAGGGUUUUUGAAAUGUUUACUAAAAUAUGUGACUAUAACACACACUUUUAUUCUAUUUAUGAAAUUGCUUUCAGUUUUGUCGACUUGGUCCAAAAAACACUUCAGAUUAACUUUGGCGCUUCAUUUUAUCUUUACUUUGACUCAGUGUUUUUUGUGUAGAGCGAUGUUUCGGCCAUUGCUACUUACCGGGGUGGUAAGUAGCACGUGGUAGACCUGUGAAGUCGUGCUGCUUAAGCGAUCUAUGUGAUGAGAUCACAGGAAAAAAAUGAAUUCACCAACUGGAAAUGAUUUCAAAAUAGCAAUAAUGCCCUUCCCAAAUUUAAAGCAAAAGUUUCAAGUUAGCAGCAGCGGCGUGCGACCAAGUCGCAAGCCUGAGAGCAAUUUUGACGUAAAGAUAAGGUUUUCUUAUUUUAAGAAAAUCAUUCCUAUUAAAUGUUUUUUUGGUACAGAAUAUCUGCCUACCAAUGAAGUAGUGAUUGUUUUGUUACAGUAUUAUAAUAAAUCAGGUAUAAGGAA